GAUGAAGAACGCAGCGAAAUGCGAUAAGUAAUGUGAAUUGCAGAAUUCAGUGAAUCAUCGAAUCUUUGAACGCACAUUGCGCCCCCUGGUAUUCCGGGGGGCAUGCCUGUCCGAGCGUCAUUACAACCCUCAAGCUCAGCUUGGUAUUGGGCCCCGCCGACCCGGCGGGCCCUAAAGUCAGUGGCGGUGCCGUCCGGCUCCGAGCGUAGUAAUUCUUCUCGCUCUGGAGGUCCGGUCGUGUGCUCGCCAGCAACCCCCAAUUUUUUUCAGGUUGACCUGGAUCAGGUAGGGAUACCCGCUGAACUUAAGCAUAUCAAUAAGCGGAGGA
rnacentral:misc_RNA from 1 species